rnacentral:lncRNA from 10 species
CAGCAGAUACCAUUAUAAUAUCCACUUUAGUAAUAGGAAAGUCAAGGCUCAGAGAUGAAAAUAGACAUGCAGCGAUUGCAUAUGAAAGCCAGGGUCAAGGCCAUAUCUGACUUACUCAUAUUUCCUUCAUGACCCGCAGAUUACGUUGCCUCUCUGUGGACUCCUGGCUGCACAUUCUCCCAUAAGCAGUCUUGGUGACCCAUUGGAACAUGCCCUUUCAGCUACUGUCAUUCAUGAAAGUUUUUUUGUUAAUGAGACUAACAGAAAAAAUGGCAAGAAACUAUUUUUUUAAAGGAUUUUCCUUUGUACAAAAUAAUUCAAAAGAAAAAUUUGCCUCUUGAUAUAUAUUUUUUAAACUUUUUAAUUGGAUAUUGGCAAGUUAUAACUGUAAGGUAAAAACAUAAGGUAAAAAAUGAUGCUGUGAUAUAUGUAUACAAUGUGGAAUGAUUGGCUCAAGCUAAUUAAUAUCCAUCACCUCAAACACUAUCAUUGAUUCCUCCCAUCUAGUUGAAACAUUAUAUUCUUUGAUCAUCGUCUUCCCUUUCCCCACCCUCAGCCUCUGGUAACCAUCAUUCUACUUUCUGCUUCUGCGAGUUCCGUAUUUUUAGCUUCCACAUAGAAGUGAGGACAUACAAAUUUGUCUUUCUGAAUUUGAACUUUUCUUAAGUUAAACUAAUACAUAUUAUUUUGGCACUGAUCUCAAAGUGUUAUUCUACUUACUGAUUUAUUAUUCUAUUUAUUGGGGAAGUACACAAUCCCUUGAAUAUUUCAGAACUAUAGGAGUUAUAUUACAUUGUGGUGAGCUAACGUGUUUGCCUCUGUCUUGCAGUGUCCCUGGGUUGUGGCCAAUUUUAAUUUGGAGCUAUGUAUGAUUUGAUAAUCCUUUCUAAAUGACAAUGCAAACACAAAUUCAUGACUAUAAAAUAUGACAUUAUCCAUUUGAUAGGUAAGAGGGACUACGUUUGAGUUGAAAAGGAAGUCAUUUACCAUGGUUCCAUUAAGAGGGACUCACCUCAGGGUGGACACUACCUUUGCCAGAGAAAUAUUUUGAUCAUUUAAUUGAAUUUUCUCUUAACUGGAAUAUCAACUCAUGUUUUGUGAUCUUUUUAUAACAGGGACUCAUUUUAUUAACAGUUUGGCAAUAUACAAAUAUGUUCUUAUUUUAAAUUAAUAACUAAAUUAAUAAAUGUCACAAAAUUGGUAUUUAUAAAUUAUGCAAAAAUAAACCAUGGUUUCUUUAUUCACUCUAAUGGUAAACACAAGAUUAAAGGCUUAUAUGUCUAUGAUCUGCUUUUCUUUUCUUUCUUCCUUUUUUUUUAAGAUGGAGUCUUACCCUGUCACCCAGGCUGGAGUGCAAUGACAUGAUCUUGGCUCACUGCAACCUCCUCCUCCUGGGUUCAAGUGAUUCUCAUGCCUCAGCCUCCCAAGUAGCUGGAAUUACAGGUGCACAUCACCAUGCCCAGUUUUUUUGUGUUUUUAGUAGAGACGGGAUUUCACCAUUUUAACCAGGCUGGUCUCGAACUCCUGACCUCAGGUGAUUCACCCACCUUGGCCUCCCAAAGUGCUGGGAUUACAGGCCUGAGCCACUAUGCCUGGCUUGAUUUACUUUUUGUCCCAGUUUUGACUCAGCAGGUUAUGAUCCACUGCAAACUACUAAAAUUUGCAUUUUCUUUUCCCUGAAUGAGUCUUAACAUUUUAUAGCUUUUAACUGUCCAAUUAUCCUAACAUUUUAUUUUUGGUCUAGAGGAAAAGAACCAAAACCAUUUUUUUUCUAUUUUUUUAAACUAGCCAUAGUGAUUGCCAUCCUAUUGUAACAGUUGGCUGAUGUUUUGGUCUACUUUUGCAUUAUCCUGCAGGUAUCCUUGUGGUUGAUCUCCAUGCACACUCAAACACCCCAACUCUCCAACACAACCCACUUCCAUGUGGUUGGCCUUAUACUGGGGAAAGGGGAAGGCACAGAAGUUCAAUAGGGGAUCCCUGGGAUGACAUUCUAGCAGGAAUAAAUAUAUCAAAUAGUUUUGCUAGUCUCAUGAGGAGUAGAAAAAUAGACAAAAUAUCAAAGUAACAUCAUCAGUCCCAAAGGUUAUGAAAAAUUAGUCAUGGCCAGUAGUGCAAAAAGAAAAAUCGAGAGAGUGAAUUCUGAAGGAAAAUACAUCUUACCCACAUGAUAUCUAUAUUGACCAGUGUUUGUGAAUGAAUUUUCUCUAGCGCAACUGUUGUGCGAAGGCUUAAGAUCAUUUCUACAGGAAUCAUAUUCCAAGUAAAUUCAGCCAUGCUAAAUGCAGUUUCAGCCAGCAACACCAGAUAAACAUUUGCUGUUAGAAAGAAUGUCAACACCCCAUCAACCACCAUAUAUACUAUUCGGCAUUGACUCAGCCAAGUCUCCAAUUUAUCUGUAUCAUUUGUUAUAACCUUAGUUUUAAUUUUGCCAUGUCUUCCAUUCCAAUGUAUCUAAUGUUAGACUAUUUAAGAGAUAUUUACCCAGGAAAGUUUAAUCACAGUACACUAGAAAAGAUGCUCUUUCCUGAUAAUGAGGAGAACUGGACUUUUCCCUCCAUUUUGACACAGCUAGCUAUCACUUUGGGACAAAUCACAACUUUAUCGAGCUUCAGCUUUCUCAUCUGUAAAAUAUGUGCACUGAAAUUAUAACUCUACCAUUCUGUUAUGAUAGGUAUCUGAGAGAUUUCACUUCUAUAGCAAUUACAUCGUGAGAGCACUGGCCCUAUAAAGCCAAGAAGGAAUGAAAAGAGGCUAAGACAAAAAAUAGUGAGUUAAAAUGUAAAGGAUACCUUCUACCCCCCAAAAAGAAGAUACAGUUUCCUUGGUACCCUGGCCAUGUUCUUAUGGGUUUUCUCAGUAGCUUAUGAGCAUAUUCUUGACUUUUUGAUAUUUUAACUUCAUAGUCUUCUUUAAACAUUAUCCCCUGAACCUUGAAGGUUACAGACACUAUAGUGCUAAUGGCAAUGUCCUUGAAAGAUCAAAAAAAGUAAUUCUUGAGGUACUGUUAUUUGAGGUCCCUGUAACUAAUUUCAAAUUAAAUGAGCAUCAAGAGAAAAGAGUUACUCCUGAAAUAUUGUGCUCUCAUUUGACUUUGUUUUUUUUUUUGUUUUUUCUUUUUUAAAAUUCUUUUUCUCGGGAAGCAUAUUGUCUAUGUUUGUGUCAGGGUUGCCCUCAUUAUGCCCAACCACUUUUCAACUACACUUGGCUGAGGCUUACUCUAGAAUAACACAGUUCUAAAGUUAUCUGUUUGCAUAUGGUUGAUUCAGGAGGGAUUCAAAGGAUAAAUUUAUUGUGUUUCUAAGAAAGACAACCCUUUUCCCCCCAAACCUAAACAUAUAUAUAUUUUUCUGAAUGCACCCUCAAAAUCAGUGUCUUUCUCAAUCUAAUAUUAUAUUGGAAGAGGAAGCAUUGUUUAGACACAUAGUUAUGUACUACUGACUGUUGCUAUAAAAAUGAAGUUUAAUCUGCACAAUUUCCAUUGCUUUUCCUUUGAAAUCUGGUGUUUAUUGCAACAGAACUUCAGAUUUUGUAACAUGAUAGUCUGAAAGACAGGCCAACACAGGCAGCUCUUUGGAAACAAGAGACCUGGUACUUCCAACAGCCAAAAAGCUGGCCAAACAUCAGGAACAAGGGAAAGACACAUCAGUUAGCUUGGAUAAAUAGUCAGGUUAUAUUUCAUGCUAGAAAAACCUUGGAAAAUGAGGGUAGAAGCUAUAAUUAGGUUUUACUUGGAUGCAUGCAUUGUGCAAUUAUUAAAAAAUGAGCUAGGCAAAGGAUAUUAUAUUCUUAGCUUUAUAUUCUAAAUAUCAAUAUUAGACAUUUAUCAUCAGACCUUUUAAAAGCCUCUGCUUUUAAAACGGACAUGGUGAUAGAUGACUUAAACUCAGACAACAACAGACUCUAAAAGCAAGAUAAACCACAAGGAAUUACUUCCUUUUAGUUUAAGAAAACUUGGACCUCUUAACAAAUCAGUAGGUGAUAUGUUGUAAUGAUUUUGUAUUAAUAUACUCUUUCUGCCACUUGAACUGGUUGCAUCAUCCAUACAUCAAGCAAAUAAAUAAGUUUCUCUAAAGACAGGUUGCUCAAUAACAUCUUAUUAAUGGAGAAUGAGCCAACUCUUCAGUAAUUUGGAAUAUCUAUUAGAGAUUGCUCAGAAAUAAAUAUAACCUUGACCAGAUAUAUUACACAUAAACAGUAUAAUUUACGGCAAUACAAUGAAAGCAGGCCCAUUCUAAACCUAGGCCUUUUAUUACUCAUAACCUGAUACUGUGAACAUUUGUUCUUUAGUAAACUCUGCUACAAAUCAUCAGAGUGAUUAUUAUAUAACAGAAGAUUCUCUGGCUGAUAUUCUUAUACUUUCCACAUCAGAAACAUGAGGAAAUUCUACAUGGUAAAAACAGCAACAACCAAAAAAUACUUAAAGUCAACAAACCAGGAAAAGACAUCUCUGAAUAUAGGAAUGCCAAACCUUUAACACAAUAAAACACAGAUUAUAUUUCAGAAGGCUAUAUUAUAUGUGUAUACCAACAUCAAUAUGUCCAGAGUAGCUGCACAGAGUUCCAUAUUUUAGUCUUUAUAAGUUCCCCUCCUCACCCUACUCAGUAGGCACUUUGUGUCUAGAAACUUCUGUGUCAACGGUUUUCCCUCUCUCUGGAAUUCAUCAGGACAGAAGUGAUUGGUGUGGUGGAAGAGGGUUGUGGUAAGAGUGAAGUUAUAUGAAAGUAGGAUGGAGGUUAGCAAGUAGUUAAAGUCCAGAAAGGCAAUAAGGUGUUAAGGAAGAACUUUUCCAUUUUACAGGUCUGAGCAAGCAGGAAAUCAACUCUACAAACUUUGAAACUUGGUAAAUAUGAAAACAUUCUCAAUACCAUUUGUCAUUUAAUAAAUACAAAUUAUACUAUUUUACUGCUUGCAUCUAGAAGUUUGUCAAAGAUCUCGUCUUAAUUAUUCAUUGUGUCGGCGAAGAUGUAAUAACAACAACAACAAAACUCCAAGCAGUUCACAUAUUAUUUGUGAAGGUUUAAAUUGGCAUAAUUCUUUAAAAGAGGAAUUUGUCAAUAUCUACCAAAAUUAAAAAGGUGCAUAGCUUUUGACCCAACAAUUCCACUUCUAAGACUUUAUGUUAUGCCUAAGUGUGUUAAUAGGCAAGAUAAUAAGUAUAUCCAGCUAUUCAGUGAGUAACUGUUUUGCAAGGGUCAGAAAACUGAAAAUAAUGUAAAGCCCCUUCACAGACAAUAGAGUAUACAUAUUCAGUCAUAUAAAAGAAUAAGGUAAAUUUUUAUAUACUGAUAUAUGAAGAACUCCCAGAUUUGCUAUUAAAUAAUAAUAUAGUUCAGUGUAAAUAUAGAUAGUAUUCUAUCAUUUGUGUAAAAACUGGAAAAUAAAAUAGUAAGAUUAUUCUGAAUUUUAAAACAUUUGAAUGUAUUAACUAUUCAAGAAUAAAAUAAAACUUCAAGAAAAAUG